CCUUCUCUGCACCUUCCACUCACUCUGCACCAGAUUUAGUGGCUUCAGUGGAGGCUGGCCAUGGACCAGGGAGCCUUGUGUGUCCUCACUUCUGUCUUCAGCCACACUGUGGGCUGAUGCUCUCUUUGCUGCCAUCUUGGAACCGUAUCACAUGGACAUGGCCACCAUCAGGCAGCCUGGAUGUGGCCAGCUUGGAAGUCAAGUUGCACUGGUUUUGCUGGUCCUUGCUGCCCACAAGUAACCCUUGGGCAGCAUUGCCAUAGGACACUCAAGCCCUGCUGCAGAGAGCAUCAGGGACCUAAGGAGGAGGAACCAGCGGCUCCCUCUCGCCUUCAGCUCUCUCUUCCGGCAUUUCUGAGCUCUCUACGUGAGGGAUUCCUGGGUGCAUGAACCCUGAGCUCCCUGGGACCAGGGCGGGUGAAACAGAGGGCAGGAAGGUCAGAGGAUGGCACUGGGCAGCCGGGCAUCGUCCUGCGCUGGGAUCCCCAGGAACGAGGCAGAGCCGCGGGAAAGCUCCAAGCGAGGAUUUAAUCUCUGCGGGAAGGGACUGUGGUGAGGAUCCAGGAUCAAGGAGUGGAAGGGAACCCAAGGUCCAGAAGUCUUCCAGAAAAUAGUUUUAAAGUUGUUCAAAGGAAGAUGGAAAACUGAAAAGUCAAACUCAGGGAGUCGGAGGAAGCACUGCCCAGUUAACCAAUGUGGAUGGAGCACAGCUGCCCCUGGAACAGCCUGUCCAGCUGCCCUUUGGGUUGCUGACCUGGCAACACGAGUGACCUGCCAGCCAAAGCAUGCUCAGGUGACUGCUGGCACCCUGGCACGGCACCACCAGGAUGGAGCAGUGAUGGUGGAGAGACCACGGCACAGGUCCCUGCCAGGAACACCAGGCACAGGGGACAGUGAUGGUCACAAAGGUCAUCCUUUCAUCCAGCCCUGCAGUGUGGCCCAAUGAGGAGGCUCUUUGCAGCUUUCCCCCCAAGACUUGGUCCUUGCAGCUGCUGGGAUCCUGCUGGCCCACUGGAAUCAGCAUCCUGCUUGGUCCCUGUGGAAUUUCUCCUUGAGUGCUGCUUUGGGGAUUCUCAUAAACACCUGGGACUGCUGAUUCCUCCUGCACUCACUGAUGUGUCCCUGCUCCUGCAGGGACCAGGAGCACAGCAUCAGGGCUGAGCCCUCACCAUCCUGUCGCCACCAGGAGGGAUGGGGUGCCUUGAAGGGCGCUGUGGUGGCCAUAUGAAAAGUCCCUGGGAGACAUAAACCCCAUGUAUUAGAGGGCAACUGAAGACCCCUGGGUAAGUGCUGUCUGCCAGAGGAAAGUCCAUGGGGCCUCUCCAAAGGGGAAUCCUGCUUCACAACCCUUCAGAGCCCUCCAGAGUGGCCGAACACACGGUCAGUGCCAUCUGUUCAUGGCAUCUGCUGGGGGUUCCAAAAGCUUUCCUUUAAGUUCUUUGAUGAAAGUUUCUUAAGGAAAGCAGGAAGCCUGGGAGAGUCAAGGCAGUUCCUUGUCAUUUUAGUUGCAUAAGAGAUGGUUGCAGAGAGAAGUAAGCAGAGGGAGGUCACCAGCCUGUCUUGCAGGGUCUGAGUUGUCAUGUCCAACAGCCCCAGAAGCAGCAGGAAUAGGGGUGAGCAAGGAGGUGACAAAGGGUAAGUGAUGCCAUAGGGGAAACAUCCAUAACUUCACUUACAGAGUGACAAGGCUGCUCCCUUCUCUGUCUUCUCCCAGAAAUAAA